AAGCUUUAGUGACUUUGGUCGCACUGAAGAUGUGAUCUUCGUACACGGAAGUUCUGGUGCAGUCACCAUAGGACUUGUGUCCUGUUCCUCUGGGACGGUGCCAUGACAAUGCAAGGAUCUAAGCCAGCACUUGGGGUGGGAGCAGCAGGGAGCUGGGGAGGCAUUGCCUCGCAGCUUCUCCAUAGAAACAAAGAUGGAGUUUGUACCAGCUGGACCAGAAAGGCUGCAGUCAGAGCACGUGGGACCUUCCAGGGAGCAAGCAUAGAUAUGAGUGAGCAUGGGAGCCCUAUGUGUUAGGAUCUGCAACAGCCAGAGUUCUGUUCUCCACUGCAACAUUAACAAUAGCAUUAGUACAGCUGUGAACUGUUGCCUCAUUCUCUGACCUGAGUGGGAAGCUAAGGAUGGGGCUGGGAGUUUUAAUUGGAUGUGUUAGUGCUGGGGAAUGACGGCCAUCAAAGGUAAAACCUUCUGUGAAAAUGUGUAUUUAAAAAAAGAACUUUUCCUGCAUGUCCCUCCAGGACUAGAUGGACAAGCUUCUCUGUCAGAAAAGCCCAUGCUUUUGCUGAUCACUGGCAGGGUGGAAAUCCUGAGCUUGUCUUAGUGUUCUUCCUUGCUUGGUAUCAAGCAUUUCUGCAAGGAAUAGCAACUACAGAAGGCACUUGUUGAGAAAGAUGCUGCCUUACCUCACUCUGAGGGAUGAAAAGAAAUACCUGACAUCUUGACAUUUUUCACGAUGUGGAAUCCUUUUUCUCACAGCACGUCCUUUUCAAAGUGAUGAAGGGAAAUGUUCUCAGAAUUGCUGUUGCUCACUUAUGGCCUCUGUUGAUUCUGUAGAUUUGCAUACCUUCUCAAAAAAAUCUUGCAGUAACGACAUACUCAUGCUCUAUUAUGAUAACUUACCUCAGGGCAAAAGUGAUUAAAAACCCUGUAAUUCUGCAGUCCCCCAUAAUAUGUGAAGCUCCUCCUACUAGGUAAUGAAACCAUUAUUCACUAACGAG
rnacentral:lncRNA from 7 species